AUAUGUCACCUGUUUGGGGGGUGUUUCUAUGAAUCGUUAUUAGGCUGCUGGACCGAACUCCCUCGUCUCCAGGCAUCUGAAAGGAGAUGCUAGCUCUGCUGUCUAGAUGAAAACAGCCUCAGAGUGGCACAUCUUCUCCCUGUGGGCUCCAGGCGAAACGUUAUGAUGUUCAUUGUUUGCAGGCCUCUGACCCAGGAAAAGAACAUACAUCUGUUUCUAUUUUCAAGCCCAUGAGGAAGGAUUUCCCUGGACUUUCCCUGCACCAUGUUAAGUGGUCAAGACCAUGAUGAGAGGGGACCUGAAAGAAAACUGUCUAAAGGCCGAUUGCUUUGUGUGAAAGAGA